CAAAAAUACCGAACUCAAAGGAAAAAAUAAAAGGGAAUUUCAAAGUCCAAUAUCAUAAGGCAAAAUCAAAAUCAAAAACCCAUCAAACAAUUGGUAAAUAACUAGGAACAGUCCAGAUUUCGAAAAAGCACUUCCUCUGACCUCAUGUAGAAAAUGAUAGAUUGAACCUGGUUUUAUAGCUAGCUAAACCUCUCACUUAAAAAUGGCAC
rnacentral:lncRNA from 1 species